GGCCGAGAACCAGUGGAGGAGGAGGGUUUUUAGGGUUGCGGAGGAGGAGAAAGUCACUGCUCCAUUUCCAAUGCUGAUCAAGGUCGAGAAGAAGGAACAGAAGGUAGUUCUUGAUUUGAUGGACGCUAUCCGUCAAGUGAAGGCUUCUGCCAAGGGAAAUUUUGAUGAGACUGUUGAAGCACAUGCAAGAUUGGGGGUUGAUGCUAGGAAAAUGCAAGUUCUGGGUAACAUG
rnacentral:misc_RNA from 1 species